AUGAAUUAGGUCUGUUAGUGUCACAAUUGACUGUACUGUGGCUAUCUAAAAUCAAUUAUCAAACUACAAAAUACCAAGGCUUACUACUUCCAUCUUAAUUCAACCUAUAAUCCAUUCUACGACUAUCAAUUCAACAAUACUUCCAUAUUCUUAUCAGUUCAUCUCUUACUUACUCUCUUUCGAUUAUUAUAUAUAUUCAAUUACUGAUCUCCAGCUUACUUAUUAUAUUCAAUUUCUCAAUUCAUCACACAGAAUUCAAUAUCUUCACUUAAUACAACACAAUUCGAUAAUCUCAAUUCUCAAGGUCACAGAUUUUUUCCAAAACGGUCAGUCCAAAGUCAUAUUCCAUAAUAUUCUAAUCACAGUUUCAACAAUACUUCUUUCAAUUAUAAUUCUUCAUAAGAAAAUAAUAAAAACAAAGAAAAAAAAGUGGUAGCAUCAAGCUUAUCCCGGUUUACAACUCACAGUCUGGCUCUUGACUUACGACUCCCAGUUUGGCUCUCAGCUUACGACUCAUAGUCUAGCCUUGAUCUCUCACUUUUCAACCUCUUUAUCUUACCAAAAGAUGAUCCGUCGCCCAGUAGAUUCCAAAGGUUAUGACCCUUUGAAUUCUUAACCAUUUAUUCUACUAACAACCUAUUGUUAUCAACUAAACUACCUAACCAUAAGUCUAAUUCUCAAGGUUGUCAAUAACCAACUAGUAACUUACCACAAAAUUUAUUUACCUAUUCUACACGUAUCUAUCAAUAGCCACUCUGAAGAUCCAAUUUUUUAAAGAUGGUAGUAGCUUGAAGUUGAUCAAAAAGUUCAUCUAUGCUUAAAAGUGGAUAUAUAUUCUUAAUAGUCUAUUUAUUAAGGCCUUGAUAGUCAAUGCAAGGUUGAAGUGUACCAUCUUUCUUAGGUGUAAAGAGUAUAAGUACUCCCUAUGGUAAUAUGCUUUCUUGAAUGAGUCCCUUUUCCAAGAGUUUGUUUAAUAUCUUCCGUAGUUCUUUAAAUUCAUUUGAUAUUAGACAAUAAAUUGGCUGACUUACUUGUUUGGCUCUAAAUAAUAGUUCUAUUUGAAAGGGGGCACCUUGAUUAAAAAUCAUGCUACUAGGUAGAUCAAUUAGAAAGACAUCCCAAUAUUUUUAUAUGAGUUACUUUGUCCAUUCUAUUCUAUUGAUUAUUUUUCCUAUCAUUGAUACAAAAUUUGGAACCACUAUAUAUAGUAUUUUUUUAUAAUAUAUUUGCUUCUUCAUAAAAUUCAUUGCUACAAGUAAGUCUUUAGUUGUAGAUUAUUUUUUUUCUUCACUAAAUGUAUAGGUAAAAAGAAUCACCUUGUGUCUAUUAUCUUUGAAAGAGAUUUUUCUUGCUAUCCAAUUAACUUGCUUAUUUUCCAUCUUUAACCAUGGCAUAUCAAGAAUAAUAUCAUAUCUUAGCUUUGUUGUCUUGAACCUCUCUCUUAAGAUGUAGGUAUCAAUCAACCUUAAGAUUUCUUUUUUUCAUGUCUAAUUCAAUACAUUUUUUUUGUCAUCUUUAAGAUAUAUACUUCUUUUUUUGAUUACUUUAGUUUUAAUUCCAAGUCGAUCAAUAAUUUUAAUAGAAGUGUAAUUUUUUGUAAAGCCACAAUCCACAAGCACUUGACAUGACUGUCUUCUUAAGAGUCCCAUUAGAUGCACUAAUUGACUCUUUUUAUAGUUUAAGGCCAUAUCAUUUAUUUUUGAGAGAUAGUAGCUAUUUCUAAUAUUAACCCUUGAUGCCUUUAUUGAAAAGUCUUGUUUCUCUACUCUAUCUCAUUAUUGAGUUGGUCAGUCUUGAGACUGUGAACUUACCUUGUUUUGUUAGUGCUUGAAUUUUGAUGUUUUAGACAACCUCCAAUGUGAUGGCUUAGCUCCUAAUAAUAGAAACAUAAUACCUUUUGUAUCAAUAUUUUUUGUCUUUGUGGUAUCAAUGAUCCUUAUAAGGCAUCAAUCUCCAUUGGCAUUGAUUAUUGUGCCAUAAUAUUAGAUAGCAACAUAAGAUUUCUUGCUAUAGAUUGUGCUCUAUGAUUUUUGAAAUAUAUAGCAUCGACCAUCUUUGCAAUCCUAAUUGCUUCUUCAAAUGUUUGUGGAUCCUUAAGUUUUAAAUCUUGUAGAAAUGGAUCUAUCAUCUCUACCUCUAAAAUAUUAUUAAUUUAAAGACAUAAGGACUUGAAUAAAAAAUAUAAACUUACACUGAUCUAGAUUGUAUAUAAUUUGCCAUUUGAUUGCAUGCUAUAUUUUUUGUAUUAAUGGAAUAAAAUUGAUUCCUAAAUUCGAUCUCAAAUUCCUUCCAAUCACAAAAUCCACCUUGAGCUCUAUAGCUUUGAACUUGAUUUCACUACCAAAUAGUUGGCGCAUCUCUUAAAUAACUAGCUGCAUACAUAAUUCCUUCAGUGGUAUUUGCUCUAGAUACUUGUUGCAUGUUCAAUAGCCAUUGACAUAUAUCUUCUUGCCUUAAAGUUCCAAAGUAUAUACUAGGCUUAUUCAAUUUGAGCCUAAUACGUGUUGACUAUCUUGUCCUAGAGGCUUCUAUUUGUUUUUGCAAAAUAACUAUGUGGCCUAAGAGGUCAUGUAUUUAAGCCUUCAUUUAGGAUUGCUCCACUAUAUCUUUCAUGUUGUAAUUCAUUGCUAGACUCUAUUAUUGUAAUGCCUUUUCAUCUUUCGAUUGACUUUUUAAGAGUAGCUCAUGGUAGCUUCAAUACACUACUCAAUGUGACCACAAUAACUAACCUCGAAUUAGAUGAUGACUAUUGAUACACUACUAAAGAAUAAUCUAAUACUUGCUCUGAUACCAAUGAAAUAAAACUAGUCUAUCUUGAUAGUCUAAGAUCUUUCUAAUCUAUAGUGACAUAAAACUUCAUCACAAAAUAAGACAAAAUGGACCAGAACAAAAUUGAAUAGAAUUUAACAAAAUAAGAUAUAAAAAAUAAAAUUAAAAAAACAUAUAAAAUAGAACAUAAUUGAAUAAAAAGAUGGAAAAGCAAAUUUUAUUAAGAAAAAAGGUCCAAAGCCAUACUUGACCAAAUAUCCAAAAGAUUUUGACUAGUCCUAUUUAUACGUUGUUUUAUAAACUUGGACUUUCUAGAAUGUUCUUUGAUGAUGGAUGCAAUAUAGAUAACUCCCUUAACUAUUUUUAGAAGAUUUUAUGGUAGAUUCUAUCUAGAUAACUGUCUUAAGUUCUUUCUAUAAUAUUCUAUAGUAGAUCUUACAUAGUAUCAAGGACAUGAACUAUAAGAUGAUGCAUAAACGAAUGAAAUUUGUAUAAAAGAAAAAGUGACAAAAUAGAAAUAAGGAAGUACAUAUAUUGAAAAGAAACUAGAAUGGCUUAUUGCCAAAAGACAAGAAAACUUGAGACUCUAGAAACUAGACUAGAAGCAAGAAAGGAAUUGAUAAGAGUAAAGAGGGCUUCACUAUUGUUUUUAUAUAUACUAUCUAACUAAAGGCUACGUGGCAAUGUUCUAUAAGACCUCUAAUAUGUGUUUACUUUGUGGGACAUAUGCCUUGACUUACAAGGCAAGUUUUUCUAUAUGUGCACUAUAUAGUUAGCUUGUUCUUCAAGCUACCAACAUAUGUAAUACAUAGUUAACUUGUUGAUCAAGUUUUUAACCUAAAAAUCAAUAAUGGAUACCUAUAAAUUCAAAGAAGCAUCUAUAAAGCUUUUAAGAAGCUUUCUUAGAAGAUAUUAUAGAAUUAACUUAUUUUUAUCUAUUUCUAUCUACUUCUAUCUAUUUAUAUAAGAAAUUAUUGGCUUAUAUGUGUAUGUUUGUGAUAUUAUUCUUCCUUCUAGGAAUGAAUUCAAUGAGGAGCAAUCAUUAUAAGUUGAAAAAAAUCUAUAAUAUGACCAAUUAUAUUUGCCACAUAUUCAAAUCUUUAAUCUCUUUGAAGAUGGUUGAUAGGGCCUUUCAAUCAUCAAUAGUAUUCCAUACUAGGGCGAGAAGACCACCUUAUUAUUUGGUCAUUGUUGAAGCCUUCAUUACUUCCUUCAAAUAAAAUAUUUGUAACAACGUCAAGAAUUGUUCAUACUUCUAAUAAAAUUAUCAAACAUCGGGAGUUUUUUCUAAGAUUGUGAUACCAAAUGCAUUAUAUCUUGCCAUCUGUUUGAAGAAAAAUAUAUUGUUCUUGAGGAUCUUUAUGUCAAUUGUGUUGUCUUAAAGGUUGUGAUAAUUGCAAUGUCUCAUCUGAUAGGUCAACAAAUGAAGGCUCUUCAAUCAAAUCCAUUGGUUGUUGAUUCUUCAUUUCUAUAGUAUCAUAAAUACAAAGAAGCUACAAGCAAGGAUUGAAAGUAGAAUAUUAUCUUACCUAAAUCUUGUUUCUUUUAUAGAAAAGGUCUUUAUUUUGAUUUUGAUGAAUAUUGUUGAUAAAAAUCCUCGACCUUCUUUGUUGCAUUUACAAGAUUCUUUGUUGGCUCUCAUGUGCAUUCACUAAUAUUAUAUCUAUGCCAAUGAAUAAGAUAUUUCAACCGAUUUUGGUGUUACCUUAAGUCUAGGACUUCUUUCACUUCAAAUUCUUCAUUAUUAUUCAUUUCAAUAGGAGGAGGUAGCAUUUGUCUUCUUCUUGGUAUGUCCACUAUCUUAUAUGAUUUAAAAAGAGAUAUGUGAAAUAUUAGAUGGAUUUUCAUUGACUCUGAUAGGUAUAAAUAAUAUGCAACUGGAUUGAUUUGUACAAAACUAGGAAAUGGUCUAAGCGUAUGAUAGUCCAAUUUAUCACCAGGACGAGUAGUCUUGAUAUUGCAACAAAGUAAUCAUACCUUGUCACCCAUUUGGAAUGGUGGUUGUUUCUUUCAAUAGACAUGUGUAUUAAUUUUUUGUUGCUUUUGAGCUUUUUUUAAGUAUGCCUUCAUUGUUGCAUGUAACUCUCACAAACAAUUUGCCAAAUCUUUCGCCAUAGGAUUAUCAACUUUUGAAAUGUCAAAAAUAUCAAGUCAUAGAUGAUAACCAUAAUUGGCAAAGAAAGGUGUUUGAUUUGUAGAAGAAUGUAUCGUGUUAUUAUAAAAAAACUUUGCUAAUGACAAAAGAGUUGUUCAAUCAUCUUAUUGAUAGUUGAUGGUACAUCUUAAAUACUCCUCCAAAACUUGAUUAACACGCUGUCGUGAUGUAUUAUGGCUAACAAAGUAAAAGGGUGAAGAAAAUAUCAUGUUUUGAGGAUCUCACUUCAAAAAUAUUGUAGCAAAUUAUCUUGGAAAAAUAGAUAUUAGUCUAAGGGUAGAAAAAUUAAAGGUGCUAAUGCUGCCUUUUUACAAAUUAUGCUUCUAUUUACUUUGUAAGGCCAUAAAUAAGACAAAACAAGGUAGAUUAGAAAAAUAAAGGAUAUAGGCAUAUUUAGGGAGGAGUUAGGAGUGCAAAUUAGUAAAAAUUACCUCAAGAAGACGAAAGUUGAUACUCGAAGAGGACCGGUUAUGAACCUGGGUCGAAAUCAGACCUUGAGGGACAAAACUGCACUCUGACGGCGACUCAAGGGUUCUUUGGAAGAUUGAAGAGGCGAAUUAGAGAGAAGACUUAUGGAGGGAUUUUUGAGAGGUAAUUUCAUAUUGUUUGGAUUAGUAUUGGAUUUUUGAGGAAUUUUCAAAGUGAGUGGUGUUCUCUAUGAAUUCAGAUCUUUGAGAAAUAAAACCAGUUUACAAAUUUUUGGAUUUCGUGUCUUUUGUAGCAUUUUUAUAGGUGAAAAUUUAGAGUCUUAUUGAUAUGGUUGUUGUAAAUGUGUAUAAGAGAUUUGAAGUCAAUCGAAUGGCUAGAUCGAUACAUAUGAAGGUUUUUGUGGGCUAAGGUCUCAGGAUUUAGGAUUUUGAAGACCAAUAAGGUUUUCUUAGAUAUCUAACAAUCUCCCAAUUGGAUUGGAGAUAUUUUUGAUUUUAUCAGUAGAAGACUUGAUUUCCUGUAUGCAAGUAAAAUUUGGAUGCAAUUGAAGAGUGGAAAGGAGAGAUAUCAGCACUUGAAGUUGGCAUCAAGAUUGGAGAAGGAAAGACCAGCCGAUAUCUGAACGAAAUUUUGAGGUCAUGGACUAAGUGAUAAGUGAAAUUUUCUUCAAAUUUUGUAUAUUGGUUUCUAAUUUAAACUCCAAGAAGUAUGCAAAUUUUGAAUUAGAAUCAACGGUUCAAUCUUUAGUUAUUUAAUUUUCAAAUCUAUGAUUACGGUUUGGUUUGGGUUAGGAUUUGGUUAGGAUUUGGUUUAGGAUUUAGGAUUUGUUAGGGUUAGGAUAUGGUUUGGGAUUUGGUUUAGGGUUUAGGAUUUAGAAUUUGGUUUAGGAUUUGAUUUAGGAUUUAGGAUUUGGAUUAGGAUUUGGAUUAGGAUUUGGAUUAGGAUUUAAGAUUUGAUUUAGGAUUUGAUUAGGGAUUGAUUUAAGGUUUAGAGUUUGAUUAAGAUUUGAUUAGAAUUUGGUUUAGGGUUUAGGAUUUGUCUAAGAUUUGAUUAAGGUUGGAUUAAGAUUUGGGGUUGGUUAAAAUUUAAGAUUUUAUUAGAUUUUUGUUAGGGUUUGACUAAGUUUUCUUUAAUAUUCUUUUAUAUUUUUUUUGGAUUUCCUUAUGUUUCUUUUAUAACUUCAAUAAAAUUUAAUUGAGCUUGCUUAAUAUUUGAUUAUAAUUGUUAAUGUUUAAUUAUAAAUUAUCUAUAAUGCUAUUGGAUUGUUAGGAUCUUUUUUUGCAAUUUUCUUUUACCUUUCACAGCUAGGUGUUCAAUGCAUUCUCAAGCAAGACUUCACAUAAUAUGCUCCAUUUAUCCAUCAAUUUGAGGAUGGAAUGCCAAAAAUAUUUUUAUAUCUAUUUUUAGAAUCUUAAAAAGAAUCUAUCAAAAUCUUGAUACAAAAUGAAUUCUCCUAUUUGAUAUAAUAUCCUUGGAUAAUCCAUGAUAGUAAUAGAUAUUGUUAAGAAAGAGUUUAGCUAUUUCUUCACUUAUGAUAGAUUUUGUACAUAGUACAAAAUGUGCCAUUUCGGUAAAACAAUCUACUAUCAUGAAUAUAGAGUCAUAAGAACUUGAGAUUGAAAGAUCCAUAUUGAAAUCCAUAGAAACAGAAGACGAUUAUUGUUUUAGAAUAGAUAAUGGUUGAAGAAGUUCAUAAGAUCGAUGAUGGAGAGUUUUUGAUCUUGAAGAAAUGUUGCAUGACUAAAAAAAAGUCUCUCAUAUCUUUCCACAUUUGUGGCCACCAAAAAUCUUUAGAUAUAAGCUCCAAAGUCUUGUUGUAUCCAAAAUGUCCUACUAUUGGAAAGUCAUGACAUACUUGAAGAACACGUAAUUGUGCUUUUUUUUUUGGAACAUAUAAUCAACCUUCAAAAUAGAGUAGGUUGUUUUUAAACUCAAACUUAGAAGUAUCUUAGGACUUAAAAAAAAGAUUCUUAAUAUUAUGAAUAAGACAACUAGAAGAUAUACUUGAUUAGAUUUGUUUAAGAUUUGAAGCAACAAUCAAUAUUGAUUUCAUUAUUUGAAGAUGAAAAUGCUCUAGCUUCAAGAGAAUCAUUCUUUGUUGAUCAAAAGAUACAUCUCUUUCUUUUGGUAUAAGAUAAGAAUGUGUAGAAAGGGUGUUUGAUAAACCUUGUUAUUUUUUGAGUGGAUAUGUGAUCUUGAAAUCAAAUCUUAAUAAGGACAUGUUCCAAUGGGCUUAGUGAUGAUUCAAAAUAUGAGUGAUAUGAAGUAUUUGAGAUUCUUAUAGUGUGGAUACAUGAUGACUGAAUUGGAAUUGCUUUCUAGAUGAUGAUGCCAUUUUUGAAAUGAAUCUAUGAUUACAAGAAGCUCUUUCUUGUGGAUUUCAUAGUUAAUCUUAAAUGUUGAAAUUUUUUUGGAAUGAAAAGCUACUAGGUAAAAUUUAUCAUUGGUUUCCAUUUCUGAUAAUACAUUAUCUAAAGCAAAGUUUGAUGUGUCUGUUUCCAUACAAUAUGCCUUAGAAAAGUUAACAUGAUACAAGAUUGGUGCAAAAAUAAAGACUCACUUUAAAGCUUCAAAAGAUGCUUCAGCUUCUUUGUUCUACUCAAAUUUGUCUUUGCAAGUCAAAUGUGUAAGUGAGGUUGCAACUUGAGAGAAGUCUUUGAUGAAGAUCUGAUAAUAGUUGGCAAAGCCCAAAAAAUAUUGGAUAUCUCUUACCAUUUUUGGAAUCUUCAAAUCCAUAAUUGUUUGAAAUUUCUUAGGAUCCAUCAUAAGUCUAUCAUUUAAAAUGAUGUAUCCUAAGAAGUCGACUUGAAUAAUGUAGAAUACAUACUUUUCUAUCUUAGCAUAGAGUCUUCUAUAUCUUAAUCUUUAUAACACAUGAUGAACAUGAAGUUCAUAUUCAUCUAUAUUCUUAGAAUAGAUAAAAAUGUCGUCAAGAUAAUAAACAAUAGAAUCAUCCAAAAAUUCUCAAAAAACAUCAUUUAUUAGAUGUUGAAAAGCUAUUGAUGCAUUUGUAAGUCCAAAAGGCAUGAUGUUGUAUUCAAAAUGUCCAUAUCUAGUUCAAAAUAUAGUUUUCCAUUCAUCUCCUUCUUUAAUACAUACUAGAUUGUAUGCUUUUCGUAGAUCUAUUUUUGUAUAGAUCUUAACUUCAUUCAGUUGAUCAAGAAGUCUAGAUAUCAUGAUAGACGGUACCUAUUCUUGAUGGUGAUCUUGUUGAGUCCUUAAUAAUCAAUACUCAUCCGCAAUGAUCCAUCUUUCUUCUUUACAAAUAAGAUCAGAGCUCUUACUGGCGAUUUGGAAUGACAUGAAAUUUUUGGCCACAUUUUCUUCAAUAUAUUCCUUGAAUUCAGCUAAUUCAUUUUGUGAUAAACUAUAGAUUGGUCCAAAUGGUGAUUGUAUUUCUUCUUAAAGGUCAAUUGAAAAUUCAUAGAGAUGAUGUAUUUGAUGAGUAUCCACAUUCUUUUUCUCAAAUAUAUCUUGAAACUCUUGAUAUUGGCUUAAAAUGCUACUUGAAGUCUUUGUAUUAUUAAAAAUAGGUGUGGCAUAAAUAACACAAGGUGAUUCUUCUUUGGCAGCAUGCAAGAAAGCUCUUGCACCUAUAAACAUAAGUUUUAUAGUAUUAGACUUAUAACUUUCUAUUGGAUUAAUUUCACUCUUAGUUAUACUUUUAGAGAAGUCAAGAAUAUAAGAAAUCUAAUCUAUACAAGGAUUAUACUUUUUUAACUACAAUAAACUUGAAAUGACUGGAUGUCAUGGACAUAAUCAUGUAAGCUAGUAAUUAUAUAUACAAAUAGGUAGAAGUAAGUAAAAGUAAGUAAAAGUAAAUUAAUUCUAUAGUAUUUAAUAUAGAAGCUUCCUAGAAGCUUCAUAGACACUGCUUUGACUUCAUAGUUGUCUUUAAUUGACUUUUUGGAUUAGAAACGUGGUCAACAAGUUGGCCAUGUGCCACACAUGUUGUUAGCUUGAAGUUCAAGCUAACUAUGUAGCCCACACGUAGAAAAACUUACCUUGUAAGUCAAGGCAUAUGUCCUACAAAGUCAACACAUAUUGGAGGUCCUAUAGAAUAUCGCCACGUAGCCCCUAGUUAGAUAGUAUAUAUAGAGACAAGAGUGAAGGCUUCUUCACUCUUGUCAAUUUCUUUCUUGCUUCUAGUCUAGUUUCAAGGGUCUCUAGUUUUCUUGUCUUUUGGCAAUAGCCAUUCCAUUUUUUCUUUCAAUAUAUAUCUUUGUUUAUAUAUAUUUUGUUACCUCUCUUUGAGUGAAGGCUCACUUGUCUGAAUUAUUUUUUCAUCGAGUUCUUGUCCUUGACAGAUUGACAAGAGUACACCUAUAAUAUGAGAGCUUUAUCUAAUCUUGAUUAAGAGUGGAUUACCCCUUUUUCUUGAUAAGAUAUAAGCAUAUUAGAAGUUGUGGAUUACCCUCUUCUAAACUGAUAUUGUCCUUAGUAUUUUCUUUGUUUUCAAGUCCUCUCUUCUAUUUGUCUUGAGCGAUAUUAGACAUCUUCUCUCUUCUAAUUGUUAUCAUGGCAGAACUUGUUGAAAUGAAGAGUGCAAUGGCACAAAUGCAAGAGCAAUUGAGGGAGUUAAUGCUUGCGAUUCAUCAACUCAAUUUACCACCACAAGGAGCAACAAGAUUGGCAAGAAGUGAAGAUAUAGAAAUAGUUGGAGCUUCUUCAACAUCUGUACCAAACCAUAUCCUUUCUCCUAUGGUAGAAUGCCCUUCAAAUAUUAGAGAACGAAGAAUUGCCCUACCCGAGAAGUUUGAUGGCACCAGAUUCAAGUUUCGAGGAUUUAUCAAUCAAGUGCAACUUGUGAUUGAACUUCAAUCCCAAAGCUAUCCAACUCCAGGAUCGCAAGUUAGAUUCAUUGGUACGCUUCUUUUAGGUUCAGCACCAUCAUGAUUUUCAUCUUUUCUUGAAUGACAAGAUCCAAUAUUAGAUAAUUUAGAGGCUUUUUUGGCAGAGUUUCGAUCCAUGUAUGGAGAACAUGAUGCAAUUCGUAUUACAACCAAUAAGAUCCGUAUUUUACGACAAGGCAAUUGAACAGUAACGUUAUAUGCUUCACAAUUUUGACAACUUGUAAUUGAUAUCAAGUGAGAUGAUGUUGCACUUAUUAGCCAAUUUCUCUACGGAUUAUAAUAUGAGGUAAAAAAAUUAAUGCUCAACUUACCUGAUCCUCAAACAUUGAGUCAAGCAAUUGACUUUGCUGUGAAGUGCGACAAUCGCUUAUUUGAAUUCCGAUCUGAGAACCGUACAAGUGGACCUCAACGUUACUAUAAUUUAAUGGCAACACCAACACCUCUUCAACACAUAUAUUCGGAAGUAGAGGAUAUGUAAAUUGAUGCAGUACAUUUUAAACCUCUUAUUGAGCAAGAAAAGACUCGUCGUCGUUAAGAAGGAUUAUGUUUAUAUUAUGGAGAACCAAAACACACUGCUCAACAUUGUCCAAAAAAAUGAUGCAAUCACAAAAUGAGGAGUAUGGCUAUGAAAGACAAUAUGUCAGAAAAUAAGUUUAUCCAGCUACAAUAGAAAUCAUGCGGCUCGAACCUUGCACAACAUCUAGUAAAGGUCUUAUUCUCUCCUCAAAGCCCUCUCUUUGUUUUACAUUAAGUGUUAUUUUAGGACCUAAAUAUUACAAAGCCUCUGCCUUGUUAGAUUCAAGAGCCUUAGUGUGUUUCUUAGAUAAAGAAUUUACUAAAAGACAUAGCAUAUCUUUAGUAAAGAAAACUAAACUUGUUCAUGUAGAAGUCAUAGAUGGUCGUCCAUUGUCUUCUGGAGAUAUUACUCACGAAACCCUUCCUAUAGAAAUAAUAAUCAUUGGUCAUAAUAGCUUUAUAGUAUUUAAUAUCAUUAGAUCUCUCUCUAAUCUAGUUAUUUUAGGUUUAUGCUGGUUAGAAAAAUACAACCCUCAAAUAGAUUGGAUUUCUCAAACUCUUACUUUCUCUAAAAGUAUAACUAAUAGUGUAGUUAAUCAAGUAGAGAGUCAUAAGUCCAGUUCAAUUAAACUCGUAUUUAUAGGUGCAAAAGCUUUCUUGCAUGUUGCUAUGAAAGAAUUACUAUAUAUUAUUUAUGCCACAUCUGUUUCUACUGGUGGAAAGACUUCAAGUGGCAUUCUAAGUCAAUAUCAAGAAUUUCAAGAUGUAUUCGAAAAAAAAAUGCGGAUACACUCUCGAAACAUCAUCCCUAUGAUUUCUCAAUUAACCUUCGAGAAGGAGUACAAUUGCCAUUCGGACCAAUCUACAGUUUAUCACAAAAUGAAUUGAAUGAACUCAAGGAGUAUAUUGAAGAAAAUCUAGCCAAGAAUUUCAUACGCCAUUGUAAAUCUCCGAUAGGAGCUCCAAUUCUAUUUAUGCAGGAAAAAGAUGGAUCAUUGCGGAUGUGUGUUGAUUAUCGAGGACUCAAUAAGAUUACCAUCAAGAAUAGGUAUUCACUACCUUUAAUACCUGGACUUCUUGAUUAGCUGAAUCAAGCUAAGAUCUAUACAAAAAUAGAUCUCCGAGGAGCAUACAAUCUAGUACGCAUCAAAGAAAGAGAUGAAUGGAAGACUGCACUUUGAACUAGGUAUGGAUAUUUUGAAUACAACAUCAUGCCUUUUGGACUUACAAAUGCACCAACAGCUUUUCAACAUCUAAUGAAUGAUGUUUUUUGAGAGUUUUUGGACGAUUUUGUGGUCUGUUAUCUAGACGACAUCUUGAUCUAUUCUAAGGAUCUAGAAGAACAUGAACUUCAUGUUCGUCGUGUGUUACAAAAAUUAAGAGAUGAAAGACUCUAUGCCAAGAUAGAAAAGUGUAUAUUCCACAAUACUCAAGUCGAUUUCUUAGGUUACAUCAUUUCAAAUGAUGGACUUAUGAUGGAUCCUAAGAAAGUUCAAAUUAUUAUAGAUUGAAAGAUCCCAAAAACGGUAAGAGAUGUCCAAUGUUUUUUGGGAUUUGCCUACUAUUAUUGGAUCUUCAUCAAAGACUUCUCUCGAGUUGCAGCUCCACUUAUACAUUUGACUUUUAAAGACAAACUCCAAUGGAAUCAAGAAGCGAAAGUUGUUUUUGAAUCUUUGAAGACAGCGUUUGUUUCUGUAUCAAUCUUGUAUCGUGUUGAUUUUUCCAAAGCAUUCUUUAUGGAAACAGAUGCAUCGGACUUUGCUCUGGGUGUGGUUUUAUCACAAAUGGAAAAAGAUGACAAACUUCAUCCAGUAGCCUUUCCUUUAAGAAAAUUCUCAGCAGCAGAAAUCAAUUAUGAGAUCCAUGACAAAGAACUUCUUGCAAUUGUGGAUUCUUUUCAAGAAUGGCAUCAUUAUCUAGAAGGCGCUUCCAGUCCAAUCACCGUAUAUAUGGAUCACAAGAACCUUGAAUAUUUUAUGUCAGCAUGCGUAUUAAAUCGUUGCCAAGCUCGUUGGAGCAUGUCUUUAUCAAGAUUCGAGUUCAUCAUCACUUAUCGGCCAAAAAAACAACAAGGUUUGUCCGAUGCCUUGUCUAGACAUUCUUAUCUUGCACCAAAAGAAAGAGAUACAGCUUUUGAGCAACAAAGAACGGUUCUCUUGAAGCCACAGCAAUUUCAUCUUCGAGCAAUAAAAUCAACAUUGACUGUUGAUUUAACUUUUCUUAAGCAACUCUAGUUAAGUAUGUCUUCAGACCCUCUUAUUCAUGAUAUCAAGAAUAAUUCUUCUAAAUCUCAUGAUCCCUCUAAAUUUGAAUUCAAGAACAACCUACUCUAUUUCGAAGGAUGCCUAUAUGUUCCAGAAGGAGAAGCAUGUUUACGUGUUCUUCAAGUUUGUCAAGACUUCCCAGCAGCAGGAUAUUUUGGAUAUAAUAAGACUUUGGAGUUGAUAUCUAGGGAUUUUUGGUGGCCUCAAAUGUGGAAGGCAAUUAAAGAUUUUGUACAAUCAUGUGAUAUUUUCUUAAGAUCGAAAACUCCUCGUCAUCGACCUUUUGAACUUGUUCAGCCAUUACCCAUUCCAGAACAACCAUGGUCUUCUGUUUCUAUGGACUUCAUCACGGAUCUUUCAACCUCAGGUUCUUAUGACUCUAUAUUCGUUAUAGUAGACCAUUUUACCAAGAUGGCACAUUUUGUACCAUGUACAAAAUCUAUCAUAGGUGAAGAAACAGAUAAGCUCUUUCUUGACAAUAUCUAUCGCUGUCGUGUUGUGACAUGACUAUAUGGUAAAAAUAUGACAAAAAAAUAAUAUUUUAAUUAAUAUUCUAUUAUCAUGGUUCAACAAGCAUUCAAUAUAUUUUAGAAGGCUUUUAUAAAAGCCUCUAAUCCUAUUUUCUUCACUUAAUAGCUAGUAGAUAAAAACUAGUUAGUAAUUUUACCUUCUAGGCUGUAGUAACUUUUUUAUUACCUUAAAAAGGCCAUAAAAUGGUAAAAAAAGUAUAAAAAGGAUAAUUUAUUAGCAUAGUUGAUACUAGGGUUAAGUUGAGGGUAGGAUCGGGCUAUAAAACCACUAGGAUAGAUUAGAUUGAUAUCCGGGAGGUCGGCCGGAAAUGAGACAGGGUCGAAAUCCGACCUCCACCCACUAAAACGGCCGCCUAGGGCAAAAUACAGGGGUUUUUUCAGAUCGGGUUUUUGGAUCGAAGAGCUAGCUUCAAGUUCUUUUCAAGAUCUCUAGUUCAGUUUCAUUAGGGUUUGUGAGGGGAGAGCAAUUGCUGCUCAAAGUCAGUGUUUAUUUUGGUGUUUCGGAUUUUAUAUAAAACAUUAAUGGUUUGUAUUCUCAAUCGGUUUGUGCAAGUCGUGUAGCAUCUAUGGGUCAAAAUUUGGUAUUGUCUGGAUAGUUGGGUGUGCUAAGUGUAUACAAAAAUUUGUGUUAAUCUAACGAUGCAAUCAAGAGAUAUCUGGGUUUUAGUACAAAGGGUUGUCGGAAGUUGGCAGUCUAGGGUUGGAUAGGGUUUUGUGAUAUCUGAAGAUCUACUAGUUGAAUCGACGUAAUUUUUGGCUUGGUAAUAGAAGAUUUGGAGAUCAAGCGGCUAUUCAAUUUUGAGCUGGAGUUAACGGUUGACAAAGGAGAAAUCACUUGUGGAGUUUCUACAUCAAAUUUCAUGGUUGCGGCUGAGUGUCAUCAGUGCGGUUUUUGGGCGUUUUCUUGCAAUCUGUAAGUUGGAUUGGGCUGAAAUUUUCUGAGCAUAUAGAAGGCUUAUACUGGUAUUUGGGUGCAAAAUUUCACACUAAGUGGACGGUUGGAUCAAAAGUUACAGCUUGUCAAAGCUCACUAGCAAGGGUUAGGGCUUGUUAAGAAAAACAAAAACAACUUAAUUAUAAAAGAAAUAAAGCAAUUGGAAUAUUGUAUGGUUAAAAUGACUAUGAGGAGUGUUUUUAAAUAAUUGGAAAUUGAUAUUUCAAUUAUAUUCUUCAUACAUGGAUAAAAUCUAUUAAAGUUUUUUUUUUAUUUGCAAAAACAACUAUACCUUCCAUAGCCAGAUAUCCAAUGUAUUCCUGAACAAGACAACAUGUAAUACGACAUCGCUAUCAUGGAUUAUCCAAGGAUAUUAUAUCAUAUAGGAGAACUCAAUUUGUAUCAAGAUUUUGGCGGGCUCUUUUCAAGAUUCUUAAAGUGGAUAUAAAACUAUCUUCGGCAUUCCAUCCUCAAAUUGAUGGACAAACGGAGCAUGUUAAUCAAGUUUUGGAGCAAUAUUUAAGAUGUACUAUUAAUUACCAACAAGAUGAUUGGACAACUCUUUUGCCAUUGGCAGUGUUUGCUUACAAUAACACGAUACAUUCUUCUACAAAAUAAACACCUUUCUUUGCUAAUUAUGGUUAUCAUCCACGACUUGAUACUUUUGACUUUUCAAAAGUUGAUAGUCCUGCUGCGAAAGAUUUGGCAAUUCAUUUAUCAGAGCUACAUGCAACGAUGAAGGCACAGUUAAAAGAGGCUCAAGAACAACAAAAGGUCAAUGCGGUGUCGUGAUAUAACACAAUUAAUAGGUGAAAGAGUGUGAAGAUUAUUAUAAUUUAAGAGAUCUUAGUUCAAAGUAUUAGAACAAAUUAUCUUAGAAAUAUAAUUAAUAGCCAAAGGGGUAGAAAAAUUAAAAGGUACCAAUGCUACCUUUUAGAAAGGUGACUUCUACUUACUUUGUAGUACCAUAAGUAAGGCAAAUCAAAGUAUAUUGGGAAAAUAAAUGAUAUAGGAAUCUUUAGAAGAAAGUUAAGAGUAAAUUCUAGAAAAAAAUUACUUAGAAAAACUAGAUAUUGAUAUCCGGAGAGGGCCGGUUAUGAACCAGGGUCGAAAUCAGACCUUGAGGCACAAAACCGAGUCUCGACGACGACUCCGGGACUCUUUGGCCAAUUAGAGAGUGGGGUUUGAGAGAAGAUUGGAUAGGGUUUCUAUGGGCAUUGAUUUUGGGUGAUUUGGAGUUGAUAUGAAUUUGUAAGAGCUUUGCAAAGUUGAGUUUUUUUUUCCAGAUGACUUGGGUUUUAUAAAAUAAAAUAGGAUUUAUGUUUUGAGUGAUUUUGAGAGUUUUGUCGCAGAUCUACAGGUGAGUUUUUUUGGGUUCAUGGUUAUAGUUGUGUUGAAUACAUGUUGUGAAUUUGAGCUUGAUCUAACGGUUGAACUGAGAGAUAUUGAGGUUUAAGUGAGUCAAGGUCUCAAAAAGUAGAAUUUUAGGUCUAGUGAAGGUUUACUAAGGCAAAAAAUAAAAAAUUAAUUUUAUUUCUUUAUAUCUCUUUUUAUACAAAGAGUAUAAAUUGCAUAUCAAGGAUAUGAAUUUCAAAGAACUAAAAGAUCAAUAUAAUCUUGUGUCACUUUAAAAGAUUAAAAAAUCAUUCAAAUUUGGUAUAAUAUUAAAUCAAAAUAGCUAUUGUUAAAGACAAAAAGACUAAAAAAUCUUAAAAUAAGAUAAAAGAAUAGAAAGGCUUUCAGAAGAGUAAAGAUGGCUAUUUAAUUAAGAGCUUGUAGAAAUUUUCUAUUGAACUUCCAACUUGUGUUUAAAUUACAAGAUUAAUGUCUUAGUUUGUAAGACAAGUUUUUUAUAUGUGUGCCACAUAAUUAGCUUGUUCUACAAACUAUCAAUAUGUGCAAUACAUGAUUAAGUUAUUGAAUAAGUUUCUAACCUAUCAAUUUAUUAUAAAUACAAAUAAAAUUAAAGUUACAUCUAUGAAGCUUUUCCACAAAAUAUUAUCUAAUUAAUCUAUUUUUAUCUAUUUUUGCUUAAUCAUAUAGAUAAAUAUUAGAGUAAAUAUAUGUCUAUAAUAUUAUCCCUUCUUUUAGAAAUGAGUUCCAUAAGGAGUACUUAUCAUAUAUUGAAGAAGUUUAAGAUGCAAAAAAUUUUAUUUGCUAUAUACUAUGAUCUUUAUUUCUUUUAAAGGUAGUUGAUAGGUUCUUCUUAGCCAUCAAUAAUAUCUCAUUUUAAAACAAGAAGACCACCCUGUUAUUUGAUCAUAAUUGAUACCUUUCUAGCUUCAUUCAAAUAAUACAUUUAUAAGUCUAUUAAGAGUCAUUUCUACCUCUAAUAAAAUUAAAAAACAUCAAAAGUCUCUUCCAGGUCAUGAUAGCAAAUGCAUUAAAACUUGCCAUCUAUUUAAAGAAAAAUAUGCUAUUCUUAAGGAUCUUCAUCUUAAUUAUGUCAUCUUGAAGGUUGUAAUAAUUACAAUAUCUCAUUUGAUAAGUCAAAAAAUAAUAACUCUUAUGUUAAAUCUAUUGGUUCUUGAUUCUCUUUUCUCUUAGUGCCACAAACAUAUAGAAACUACAAACAAAGAUAGAAGAUAGAAUGCCAUUUUUUUUAGAUCUUGUUUCUUUUAUAAAAAAGAUUUAUUAUUCUUUAUCUUGAUUUUGAUAGAUAUUAUCAAUGAAAAAUAUCAACUUUCUUAUUUGUAUAUGUAAGAUUAUUUUUGGCUUCUAUGUACAUUCACUAAUAUCAUAUCCAUCCUAAUGAAUAAGAUAUUUUAACCUAUUUUGGCAUUGCCUUAAGUCUAAGACUUCUUCUACUUGAAACUCUUCAUAAUUGUCUACUUCUAUAGGAGGUAGUAUUUGUCUUCUUCUCAAGAUAUUCAUUAGCUUAUAUGAUUCAAAAAGAAACAUCUAGAAUAUAUGAUGGAUCUUCAUAGACUCCGGUGUCAUGAUGUAACAUGACUAAUAGGUGAAAGAAUGUAGAAAUUAUUAUAAUAUAGGAGAUCUUAGUUCAAAGUAUUAGAGAAAAAUAUCUUAGAAAUAUAGUUAAUAGUCAAAAGGGUAAUAGAAAAAAAAGUACUAAUAUUACUUUUUAUAAAAUGACCUUCUACUUACUUUAUUGGACCAUAAAUAAGACAAAAUAAAGUAGAUUAGGAAAAUAAAAAUAAUGAGCAUUUAUAGGAGAAAGUUAGGAGUUGAUUUUAACAAAAAUUAACUCAAAAAGACAAAAUUUGAUACCCGAAGAGGGCCAGUUAUAAACCUAGAUCAAAAUCAGAUCCUGAGGUACAAAACCAAGCACCUACUGCAACUUCAAGGUUUUUUUGUAGAUUAAAAAAUAAAAUUUGAUAGUAGACUAGAUAAGAUUUCUAUGAGUAUUUUUUUUGUGUGAUUUGGAUUUGUAAUGAAUUUAUAAGAGCUUUAUAAAGUCAAGUUUGUUUUUAUAUGACUUGGAUUUUGUGAAAUAAAAUAGGGUUGAUAUUUUAGAUGAUUUCAAGAAUUAUAUAAUAGAUCUAUAGGUGAAAUUUUGUAGAUUAAGGGUUAUAGUUGUGCUUAAUAUGUGUUUUGAAUUGUAGCUUCAUUUAAUACUUGAAUUGAGGGUUAUUGAGGGUUAAGUGGAUUAAGAUCAUAAAAAGUAGAAUUUUAGGUCUAAUAAGGAUUUUUAAGAUUUCUUGCAAUGUGCUAGUUGGAUUGCAGUGAAAUUUAUAAUUGAAGAAAGUAGACUUGUUUUUCUAUGUAUAUAAGAAUUUUGAGAUCAAUCGAAUAAAGAAAAAAGAGAGAUAUUAGCUCUGGAAGAUUGGCAUUAAGGUCAGAGAAGGAGGCUGGCCAAUACCUGAGCUCAUUUUUGAGGUUAUUGUCUAUUUAAUUAUUCCAAUCCUUUUCAAAUUUUCUUUGCUUGUCUUCAACUUAAUUUUUAAAAAGUAUGAAAAUUUUGAAUUAAGAUCAAUAGUUCAUUCAUUAGUUAUUGAGGUUUAAAUUUAUUAUAGGAAUUUCUAGGAUUUGGUUUAGGAUUUAGGAUUUGAUUAGGAUUUGUUUUAAGAUUAAGAUUUGAUUUAGGAUUAGGAUUUGGUUAGGAUUUGAUUUAAGAUUAAGAUUUGAUUAAGAUUUGAUUUAGGAUUUAGGAUUUGAUUUAGGAUUUAAGAUUUAGUUAUGAUUUGAUUUAGAAUUUAAGUUUUGAUUUAGGAUUUAGGAUUUGAUUAGGAUUUGAUUUAGAAUUUAGGAUUUGAUCUAAGAUUUAUGAUUUGAUUAGAAUUUGAUUUAGAAUUAGAAUUUGAUUUAGGAUUAGAACUUGGUUCUGAGUUGAUUUACGGUUUGAUUAAGAUUUGAUAUAGGAUUAGGAUUUGAUUUAGGGUUAGAACUUGGUUACAAGUUUAUUUAGAAUUUAGGAUUUGGUUAGGAUUUGAUUUAGGAUUUAGGAUUUUAUUAGGGUUUGUUUAAGAUUUAAGAUUUAAUUAUUUUUUUGCAUAAAGUUUGAAUGAAGUCCAAUAGGAUUUUAACUAGGAUUAAAUUAAGAUUGAAUUGAGAUAUAUUUGAGAUAUAUUUGUGAUCAUUCUAAUAUUUUUUUAAGAUUUCUUAUUAUUUCUUUUUAAUUCCUUUGAGGUUUUUUUGAAUUUGAUUAAAGUUUGUUUAACAUUGUUAUGGUCUAUUUAGAGUUUAGUUAGUGUUCUAUUAGAGUUAGGAUUUUAUUGUUGAAAUUUCCAUUCUACCUUCGACAGUCAAGUACUUGGAGCAUUCUCAAGCAAGAUUUCACGUAUUAUGACAUUGAUUGAUAUAAUUAAUACGCAACAAGAU
rnacentral:lncRNA from 1 species